rnacentral:siRNA from 1 species
GUUAGAUGGUAGAACGGGUUUG